AUUGAACGCUAGCGGGAUGCCUUACACAUGCAAGUCGAACGGAGUGGCGAACGGGUGAGUAAUGUAUCGGAACGUGCCCAGUAGCGGGGGAUAACUACGCGAAAGCGAAGCUAAUCCAGCACACUAUUGGAGCGGCCGAUAUCGGAUUCGCUAGGUGGUGGGGUAACGGCUCACCAAGGCGACGACCCGUAGCUGGUUUGAGAGGCCGACCAGCCACACGGGGACUGAGACACGGCCCAGAUUCCUACGGGAGGCAGCAGUGGGGAAUUUUGGACAAUGGGGGAAACCCUGAUCCAGCCAUCCCGCGUGUGCGAUGAAGGCCUUCGGGUUGUAAAGCACUUUUGGCAGGAAAGCGGUACCUGCAGAGUAAGCACCGGCUAACUACGUGCCAGCAGCCGCGGUAAUUC
rnacentral:rRNA from 1 species